AUUUGACUCAACGCGGGGAAUCUUACCGGGGUCCGGACACACUGAGGAUUGACAGACAGUUGUCUUUCCCUCCCUUCGGGGUGGGAUUACAAAAGAUAACAGAUCUUUCAUGAUCAUGUGAUGGGUGGUGCAUGGCCGUUCUUAGUUCGUGGAGUGAUCUGUCUGCUUAAUUGCGUUUCAAAUUUUAUAUUUGUUAACAUGCGAGUCUUCAAUGACGGCCACUCCACCUUAUAGACAUUAUAUGAUAUGCACAUUUGUGUAUUUGAUUAUAACUUGUCUGGAGUCUGGCUCGAUUUUUUUGACUCAAUUGAACGCAACGGACGUGAUUGCAAGUCCUUGUUGAACAAAUUAUAUAUAUACUACUUCAUCAUUAGUAUAUAUAGUUCGCUUCUCAUGUCGUAGCAGUCAAACGGGCGGGCGUCUUAAUUGGCGCGGUCACGAGGCUUAAUAUGCUGCGGCUGGGGAAAACUUGGGCGACCGCUGUAAUACUUCUCUCUUAAACCAGAGGAAGAUUGCGGCAAUAACAGGUCUGUGAUGC
rnacentral:rRNA from 1 species